AGAGGCUGAUCUUUCCCUUCCUGAUAUUGAGAGGAACGGUUAUAUAUUCUCUGAUGGUAUUGGUAUUAUAACUCCAGAUCUUGCCAAGGAAGUUGCAGAAAAGUUGAAAUUAGAUGCUAAUCCACCAUGCGCUUACCAGAUUAGGUAUGCAGGAUGUAAAGGGGUUGUGGCUUGCUGGCCAGCACAGGGUGAUGGGAUUCGCCUGUCUUUGAGGCCCAGUAUGAACAAGUUCCUGUCAAAC
rnacentral:misc_RNA from 1 species